GUUGUUGUGGCCGAGGUUUUAAGGCAACGGGCUUGAAAUCCUUUGAGGUCUCCAAUCACACGUUCGAAUCCUGUCAACGCA